UAUAAGCACAACCAUAAUUUUUUGUGCCUAAUUUUGAUCCUCCGUCUUAUUUAUUUUUUUUAUAAUUAGUAUUUUUAUUGUUAUAAGAUGAUAAAAUAUGAAUAGUACUCUAUACGUGACUUAUGUUCUCAAUUUUUUUCAAAAUUUUUUUAAAUGAGACAAACGGUCAAAGUUGGGUAUGGAAAAUUAUGGCUACACUUGUA
rfam:Oryza rufipogon genomic scaffold, chr09